rnacentral:rRNA from 1 species
AACGAACGCUGGCGGCACGCCUAACACAUGCAAGUCGAACGAGACCUUCGGGUCUAGUGGCGCACGGGUGCGUAACGCGUGGGAAUCUACCCUUGUGUUCGGAAUAACAGUUAGAAAUGACUGCUAAUACCGGAUGAUGACGUAAGUCCAAAGAUUUAUCGCCCAAGGAUGGGCCCGCGUAAGAUUAGCUUGUUGGUGGGGUAAUGGCCUACCAAGGCGACGAUCUUUAGCUGGUCUGAGAGGGUGAUCAGCCACACUGGGACUGAGACACGGCCCAGACUACGACGGGAGGCAGCAGUGGGGAAUAUUGGACAAUGGGCGAAAGCCUGAUCCAGCAAUGCCGCGUGAGUGAUGAAGGCCUUAGGGUUGUAAAGCUCUUUUACCAGGGAUGAUAAUGACAGUACCUGGAGAAUAAGCUCCGGCUAACUCCGUGCAAGCCGCCGCAGUAA